AGGGUUCUCUUGAUGGGAAAAGCUGGACAAACUUGAGAGUACAUGAGGACGAUCAAACCAUUUGCAAGCCUGGUCAGUUCGCAUCAUGGGUCUUAACUGGGCCUACUUUCCUACUUCCCUUCAGAUUCUUUAGGGUUGUUCUGACUGGGCCUACUACAGAUGCGUCGGUUCCCUGGAACUUAUGCAUCUGCUACUUGGAACUCUAUGGCUUCUUCCGUUGAUUUCAUGAAUUUCCACCGGAUUAUGUGUUUGCAAUAAGUUGUGCUGAUAAUAACGAUUCCAUCAUGUAAAGUUCUUCAAGUAUGACAAUACAAGAUCAAUGAUGGAGUUUUCCACAAUCCCUGAUAAAUAAGAAUAUGCUAUAGUGAACAAUCUUUAAAGCCAUG
rnacentral:misc_RNA from 1 species